rnacentral:rRNA from 1 species
CACUGCCGAGAAAAGCCUCUAGAUAGAAAAUAGGUGCCCGUACCGCAAACCGACACAGGUAGUCAAGAUGAGAAUUCUAAGGUGAGCGAGCGAACUCUCGUUAAGGAACUCGGCAAAAUGACCCCGUAACUUCGGGAGAAGGGGUGCUCUUUAGGGUUAACGCCCAGAAGAGCCGCAGUGAAUAGGCCCAAGCGACUGUUUAUCAAAAACACAGGUCUCUGCUAAACCGUAAGGUGAUGUAUAGGGGCUGACGCCUGCCCGGUGCUGGAAGGUUAAGAGGAGUGGUUAGCUUCUGCGAAGCUACGAAUCGAAGCCCCAGUAAACGGCGGCCGUAACUAUAACGGUCCUAAGGUAGCGAAAUUCCUUGUCGGGUAAGUUCCGACCCGCACGAAAGGCGUAACGAUUUGGGCACUGUCUCAACGAGAGACUCGGUGAAAUCAUAGUACCUGUGAAGAUGCAGGUUACCCGCGACAGGACGGAAAGACCCCGUGGAGCUUUACUGUAGCCUGAUAUUGAAAUUCGGCACAGCUUGUACAGGAUAGGUAGGAGCCUUUGAAACGUGAGCGCUAGCUUACGUGGAGGCGCUGGUGGGAUACUACCCUAGCUGUGUUGGCUUUCUAACCCGCACCACUUAUCGUGGUGGGAGACAGUGUCAGGCGGGCAGUUUGACUGGGGCGGUCGCCUCCUAAAAGGUAACGGAGGCGCUCAAAGGUUCCCUCAGAAUGGUUGGAAAUCAUUCAUAGAGUGUAAAGGCAUAAGGGAGCUUGACUGCGAGACCUACAAGUCGAGCAGGGUCGAAAGACGGACUUAGUGAUCCGGUGGUUCCGCAUGGAAGGGCCAUCGCUCAACGGAUAAAAGCUACCCCGGGGAUAACAGGCUUAUCUCCCCCAAGAGUUCACAUCGACGGGGAGGUUUGG